UCCAAGUCCCUCACACGGCUGACCGCUAAAUUGGGCGGCACGUACGUGUUUACAAAAUCGCUUUCUACUUCCUUUCUCGUGUGUAAUCUCGUUCUAAAAAUAGAAACGAGAUCUACACGCAAAUUAUACGUUAUUCCAUGGAAUUUCCCAGUCUUUUGGGCGCGAAGAUCGAGGAUAUGUUACGUGUUUUCGCGACAGAUUAUCAGGGCGACGAAUGAGAAUGCAGCCUAUACAAGUGAACGAGCGAUCACAACAACAACAAAGAACAAUCUGUGAUAUCUUCCCUGUGAUGUCUUUCUUAUAGGAGCUGUGGUUCAAUGUUCAGAUGUGCAUGAAGAGGAUUUACCUGUAACACCUGGGAUUACCUGUGCCGUCCAAGAUGACAAGACCACCGCGUUAUGUUUACCUUGUAUCUGUGAUUUAUUUUUGUGAUUUUUAAUACAUUUUGAGCCCAAA